UGCUGCAUGGUUGUCGUCAGCUCGUGCCGUGAGGUGUCGGGUUAAGUCCCAUAACGAGCGCAACCCUUAUCGUUAGUUGCCAGCUGGUAAAGCAGGGGACUCUAGCGAAACUGCCACCGUAAGGUGAGAGGAAGGUGGGGAUGACGUCAAAUCAGCACGGCCCUUAUGUCCAGGGCUACACACGUGUUACAAUGGCCGGCACAGAGGGCAGCUACCUGGUGACAGGAUGCUAAUCUCGAAAACCGGUCUCAGUUCGGAUCGAAGUCUGCAACUCGACUUCGUGAAGCUGGAUUCGCUAGUAAUCGCGCAUCAGCCAUGGCGCGGUGAAUACGUUCCCGGGUCUU
rnacentral:rRNA from 1 species